ensembl:lncRNA
GGCAAGCUGAAAGCGGAGAUAAAGGCCCAGCGGCUGAAGCUGGAGGAGGGCAAAACUCGGGAGAGCAUUGCGGCUGUGGAGCAGAGAAGGGAUGGAGCAAACAGAUAACAAACGGGGACGGAGGAUUUGCAAGCAGCUGUCUGAGAACAAGAGCUAAUAAACUGCAUAGAAAUAUGCAAGCAAAGAUGCAGCUUCCUUGAUCUUUAAUACCACCAGAAAGUCCUCUGGCUGUAAAUGGUCUGCAUUGGGUAACGGAGACAGGCACAGAUGCAAUCCUUCACUUUUUCCACAUCGGUUGCUGCAGUUCAAAGAGAAAAAUAGAAACACAGUGAGGCAGCAGAGGAAGAAAUGGAUCCAAUCUAAAGGGGUCCCCGUCUCCAAACAGGAGAAAUUCUGUUUCCCUUGAUGAGGGUGGGCACACCUCCUCUUAUGGAUGGUGGUUGUGAUUAACGGACUAAUAUUGCACGUGAUGCAAUGCCCUUAUACGUAACACAGGAAACAUAGCUGUGUAGCUAUGUGGCUGUGGCUCUGUGAAUCUGUAAAACAUUGUGAUGUGAGUGCAGUGAGAAGCUGAGAAGAAAAAGUGAGUAAAUUCUGUCUAGACAUCUAAUGUACAAUAAAUUACAUUGAAAUAUAUACGUAUCGUUAACGUAGCUUUGCCAGACUGGAAUGCAUCUUCACGCAGCAUGGCUUUAAGUAUAUUUUAGAGCACCGAUGUAUAAACUGAUGGCACUGGGAUGGGUAGAAAAUUAAAGGUCCUCUAGUAAUGCGGGUGUCAAGAUGCUACGUAAGCACAUUAUGUAUUGCUCUGAUGAAAUGUUGUGUUUUGUUAAGGA